UGGGGAAUUUUGGACAAUGGGGGCAACCCUGAUCCAGCAAUGCCGCGUGAGUGAAGAAGGCCUUCGGGUUGUAAAGUUCUUUUGGCAGGGAAGAAACGGUAGUAGCGAAUAACUAUUACUAAUGACGGUACCUGAAGAAUAAGCACCGGCUAACUACGUGCCAGCAGCCGCGGUAAUACGUAGGGUGCAAGCGUUAAUCGGAAUUACUGGGCGUAAAGCGUGCGCAGGCGGUUGUGUAAGUCAGAUGUGAAAUCCCCGGGCUCAACCUGGGAAUUGCAUUUGAGACUGCACGGCUAGAGUGUGUCAGAGGGGGGUAGAAUUCCACGUGUAGCAGUGAAAUGCGUAGAUAUGUGGAGGAAUACCGAUGGCGAAGGCAGCCCCCUGGGAUAACACUGACGCUCAUGCACGAAAGCGUGGGGAGCAAACAGGAUUAGAUACCCAAGUAGUCCCUGAGCGGGCUGGCAAGGCGCAU
rnacentral:rRNA from 1 species